rnacentral:rRNA from 1 species
GAUGAACGCUGGCGGCGUGCUUAACACAUGCAAGUCGAACGGAAAGGCCCAAGCUUUCUUGGUUACUCGAGUGGCGAACGGGUGAGUAACACGUGGGUGAUCUGCCCUGCACUUCGGGAUAAGCCUGGGAAACUGGGUCUAAUACCGGAUAUGACGAUUUGUUGGAUGCCAUUGUGGAAAGUUUUUUCGGUGUGGGGUCAGGUCGCGGCCUAUCAGCUUUUUGGUGGGGUAAUGGCCUACCAAGGCGUCGACGGGUAGCCGGCCUGAGAGGGUGGACGGCCGGAUUGGGGUCGUGCGACGGGCCGGAGUAGUACGGGUGGCGGAAGGGGGGAAAAUUGGACAAUGCGACGAAGCGUGAGGGAGGGAGGCCGCGUGGGGGAAGAACGCCUUUGGGAUGUAAAAACCAAUCGCUAGGGAACAAGGGUUUUUUUGACGGUACCUGGAGAAGAAGCAACGGCUAACUACGUG